GAUGGACGCUGGCGGCGUGCCUAAUACAUGCAAGUCGAGCGAACAGAUAAGGAGCUUGCUCCUUUGACGUUAGCGGCGGACGGGUGAGUAACACGUGGGUAACCUACCUAUAAGACUGGGAUAACUUCGGGAAACCGGAGCUAAUACCGGAUAACAUUUGGAACCGCAUGGUUCUAAAGUGAAAGAUGGUUUUGCUAUCACUUAUAGAUGGACCCGCGCCGUAUUAGCUAGUUGGUAAGGUAACGGCUUACCAAGGCGACGAUACGUAGCCGACCUGAGAGGGUGAUCGGCCACACUGGAACUGAGACACGGUCCAGACUCCUACGGGAGGCAGCAGUAGGGAAUCUUCCGCAAUAGGCGAAAGCCUGACGGAGCAACGCCGCGUGAGUGAUGAAGGGUUUCGGCUCGUAAAACUCUGUUAUUAGGGAAGAACAAAUGUGUAAGUAACUGUGCACGUCUUGACGGUACCUAAUCAGAAAGCCACGGCUAACUACGUG
rnacentral:rRNA from 1 species